rnacentral:misc_RNA from 1 species
AGACUGACCACCUGCCUGGGGUUGACCAUCAUCAGUCCACCUACCAUCACCAGGCCUCCGGCCUGGAACGUGUAGAGACUCCAGACCAACAGAAAAGUCAGCCAAAGGUGGGGGUGCUGCACCAGUGAGUCUAUCACUGAAAAUGCUAGGCGGCACACUAUCAAAUGGGAGUACUGGAGAAUCAAAAGUGUAGAACCGAGCUACAUCCAGCCUACCAGCAGAUAAGGUUUCUGAGUCUCUGGAUGAGUUCCCAAGAGAUGACCAGACAGGAGCAGAGUCACCAGGCUGUGAUGGCCUCAAGAGGAGAGGAUGUUGCAGACCAGUAACUUCAGUAACAGAUUGUUCCAAAUUCCUAGUUGUUUGGCGACGGCGCUCAAAGCCAAAAGUCCUGCGAAGACCAAAGAGGUCAUCAACGUUCCACCCUUCAAUUGUUUCACCUCCAACAUUAAUAAGGCUACCACUUGUUCCAGAUUGCCCUAAAACUUGUAAAUGGUCAAGGCCGUCCAGGGCUUCCCUCCACCUAACCUCAAUAACUCGAUUUUCAUGAAACUCAUCAUCCUCUUCAUCAACCAUGUCAUCA